rnacentral:rRNA from 1 species
UGGGGAAUUUUGGACAAUGGGCGAAAGCCUGAUCCAGCCAUGCCGCGUGAGUGAAGAAGGCCUUCGGGUUGUAAAGCUCUUUUAGUCGGAAAGAAAGAGUUGCAAUGAAUAAUUGUGAUUUAUGACGGUACCGACAGAAAAAGCACCGGCUAACUACGUGCCAGCAGCCGCGGUAAUACGUAGGGUGCGAGCGUUAAUCGGAAUUACUGGGCGUAACGGGUGCGCAGGCGGUCUUGCAAGUCAGAUGUGAAAGCCCCGGGCUUAACCUGGGAAUUGCGUUUGAAACUACAAGGCUAGAGUGCAGCAGAGGGGAGUGGAAUUCCAUGUGUAGCAGUGAAAUGCGUAGAGAUGUGGAAGAACACCGAUGGCGAAGGCAGCUCCCUGGGUUGACACUGACGCUCAUGCACGAAAGCGUGGGGAGCAAACA